GGCCUGUCUAAUUGUUUUGUAUUUUUAGUAGAGACGGGGUUUCACCAUGUUGGCAAGGCUGGUUUCCAACUCCUGACCUCAAGCGAUCCGCCUGCCUUGGCCUCCCAAAGAGCUAGGAUUACAAGCAGGAGCCAUUGCGCCCGGCCAGGAUUUAUCAAAUUUUGUAUAAAACUGUAUUUUAGGGUCUUACGUCUAUUCUACAAACAAUAUCUAUACUGUAUUUUCUUCAAAUCCUUAAUCAGAUAUUAUAUUGAAGAGGGACAUCCAGAAAGGCUGAGUGCAGGGUAGGACACAUAUUUUAAUAAAAUUGAUUUUUCCACAGGAAGCUGUUGGCACUUGGGAGCUAGACCAUUGCUGUCCCAUGUGGUGGCUACUAGGUACAUGUGGCUGUUUAUGUUUAAAUUCAGUAAAGUUUAAAAUUCAGUUCUUCAGUCCCACUAGCCACAUUUCAGGUGUUCAACACAGUGACCAAUACAGCAAAUGUCCAAUGUUCGUUACAGAUGUAGAGCAUUUCCACCAUGCAUAUGGGUCGCAGAGAAGCCACAUUUACCUUAAAAAAACAGCCCUUCUGCACUCAAUUAUUUCUACUAAAUAGUUCUACUCCUGUUGAAGACAUCUCUGUGUCAGACUAUGAGCUGAUGUCAAAUGGGAAAAAACCUCAGACACUGGCAUUGAACCUGGAGAGUCUGGCUCCAGAGCACCCUUGCAAACAGUUACACUGUCUGGAUUUCCCAGACAGGAGUGGGGUUAGUGGGUGCAGCUCUGCAGUACAAUGACAUGGCUGGCUCGGUUCUAGUCCAGGGAGGAAAUUCUCUGACAGUGGAGUCCCAUGAACCCGCCUCCCCACUGACACACACACAUACACACACACACACACACACACACACACACACACACACACACACACAUCUUCCCUCAGAGAUUGUGCAGAAUGUGUAGGAGACCUCCCUCCUAAGGAACCAGGUCUUCCUCUGUUGCCCAGGCUGGGGUGCAGUGGCAUGAUCUCAGCUCACUGCAACUUCUGCCUCCUGAGUUCAAGAUUCAAGUGAUUCUCCUGCCUCAGCCUCCUGAGUAGCUGGGAUUACAGGCAUAUGCCACCAUGCUCUGCUAAUUUUUCUAUGUUUACUAGAGAUGGGGUUUCACCAUGUUGGCUGGGCUGGUCUCGAACUCCUUACCUCAGGUAAUCCACCCACCUUGGCAUCCCAAAUAAGAAACCAAUUCUAUUUCAUGCUCACCAGGAGCUGUCUGGGUUUUGUUCGAAUCAGCCUGUCAGUUUAACAGGUUACCACAUCUUCAUCCUGGCUUGAUGAGAGACAGUUUUAUUUGCUUUUCUCAUGUAUAUUCAACUUCAGAGCUUCCACUUUUUGGUGAACACAUUUAAUAAAUGAAAGGGGGGAAGAAAGAGCCAAAAUGAGAUUAUGAUAAUUAUGAAAUAUUUUUAAAGCAGUCAAUUUAAUAAAACGAUUUUAACAUGCAAAUAUAAGAUGUCAUGCAUUUGUGAUUUUUAUAAGACAGUUUCACAAUUCAUGGAAAAAUCUACUAAUUGGUAGUGCCUCAGAAGCUGUGCAGUGAUGCUGGAGGGAGUGCAAGUGACGUUUUUCUCAUCACUGUCUUCUCUGACGCUGCGGCCUCAUACAGCAGUAAGGUCCAAAGCCUAAACUCUAGGGCCUUUUUGAAUACGAAGUGGGGACCACUGCCUGGCCCACUCCUACCAGCGUCCCUCCUCCAGCAGGCGGUGGGGCCUGGACGUGUCUCCCAGGAGUCAUCUUGUCCUGGCCCUUCCAGCCCCAUUCUCUCCGUUUCCCAGCAGGCAUCUGUAUUGAUGUUCCCGAGGCAAGUGACUGACCUUCACUGUCCCUUUCCCGCCUUCCUGCCAGGAAGAAUACUGGGGUGCAUAAGCUACCACCUACCCUGCCAUUUAAGCUCCUCCUAGAAUCGUGCAUGGCCUACUGGUCAUGAGCAUGGAUGUACCCACACAAGAGGCUAUGGGUUUCUAAGCAUCUUUGUAUUCCAGAGGUGACCACAUCCCUCCUUGAGGCCGGGAAAAUCUGCCUCUGAGCCAAAUAAGGUGUGUGUGUGUGUGUGUGUUGUUUUUUUGUUUUUUGGGAACAGGGUCCCUCUCUGUCACCCAGGCUGGAGUACAGUGACCCAAUCACAGGCUCACUGCAGCCUUGACCUUCUGGACCCAAGCAAUUCUCCUACCUCUGACUUCUGUGUUGGUGGGACUACAGAGUGCACCAGGAAGCCUGGCUAAUUUUUGUACUUUUUUUUUUUUUUUGUAGAGACGGGGUCUCACCAUGUGGCCCAGACUGGUCUUGAACUCUUGGGCUCAAGCAAUCCAUCCACUUCGGCUUCCCAAAGUGCUGGGAUUACAGGUAUAAGCUACAGCACCCAGCCUCCAAAUAAGCUUUGAUCUUAAGAUUUCUCCCAGGAAAGAAUUAAAUUAUCCAGGCUCAAAAAGUGCUGAAAAGAUGCUAAACAGCAUCUGCUUGGCAGUGGACUGGAAGCCAAGGGAAGGGGGAAGAGCAGCAAGGACUUAGGGAGGAUGCAGGGUGAUGAAGAUCUCACAGAAGCAGCAGGUUUAGGGGGAAAUGGGAUGAACUCCUUUUUGGAUAUGUUGGGUUUGACAUUCUGGCAAGAGAGCUUAAUAGGGCAGCUCAGCAAGCUUGGCUCUAUGAGUUUGUUAGGCCUGAAGACGGAGCAGAGACCACAGGGGUACAUGAGAUUUCCCUAAGGAAUGGGUGUGGGCCCCACAUCUACACCGUGGAGUAAGAAGAGAAUAGGACUGUGGUAGGUUGAAUUUUUGUUUACCCAGAUGUGGCACCCCCACAUCUGGAUUAAACACAUUCCUGCUCAGUAGAACCCAGGAGCAGCCACGAGACUUGCAUAAUCAGCCACAUGUAAGCAGAAGUGACAUGGGUCACCUCUGAGCAGAAACUGUGUGUGAUUUACCAUGUCUCUUUCUCUUCUUUCUGCCCUAAGACCAUCAAUGUCCCAAACAGAGACUUUUCCAACAGACUGGGUCCUGGAGUGAAAAAAGUGAUGUGUAGUACUGUAGCAGGCCCACGAUGGACACGUAACAUGAGCAAGAAAUGAACUGUUGUCGUUGUAAGCCACUGAGAUGGGAGGGCAGUCAUUUUUCACACAGCAUAACCUAACCUAUACUGACUGAUACAAGGUCAAGGACAGAUCCUUGGUGAUCACUUAGGGCACAGAAAGAGGAAGAGAAGAUGUAGAAGAUGAUCCUCAGAGAAGAGGAUGAGAACAGGAAUGCAAGUGACAGAAAUACUAAAGCGUUUUCUUCAUUUAAUCCAGCAUUAACUGAUGAUCAGUGUCAUUGUUCUAAGCACAAUCCCUAAGUAGGGCAAUUGAGGAACAUCUUUCAAUAUUUCAAAUUUCAUGUAUGCCCCCAUCUGAGCACUUCCAUGAUUCUAUAGAUAUAUUUACAUAUGUGCUGUGAUGGUUAAUACUGAGUGUCAACUUGAUUGGAUUCAAGGAUGCCAAGUAUUGUUCCUGGGUGUGUCCAUCAGGGUGUUGUCAAAGGAGAUUAACAUUUGAUUCAGUGGACUAAGAGAGGCAGAUCCACCCUCAAUCUGGAUGGGCACCAUCUAAUUAGCUGCCAGUACAGCUAGGAUAAAAGCAGGCAGAGGAACACAGGAGGACUAGACUGGCUGAGUCUUCCAGCUUUCAUCUUUCUGCUGUGCUGGAUGUUUCCUGCCCUCGAACAACGGACUCCAAGUUCUUCAGCUUUUGGACUCUUGGACCUACACCAGUGGUUUGCCAGGGGUUUUUGGGCCUCUGGCCACAGACUGAAGGCUGUACUGUCGGCUUCCCUGUUUUUGAGGUUUUAGGACUUGGGCUGGUUUCCUUGUUCCUCAGUUUGCAGAUGGCCUAUUGUGGGACUUCACCUUGUGAUCCUGUGAGUCAAUACUCCUUAAUAAACUCCCUUUCAUAUACACAUCUAUCCUAUUAGUCCUGUCUCUCUAGAGAACCCUGACGAAUACAUAUGCAAAAUGAUGUAUGUACAAGACUAUGUAAUACAUCCUUAUUUUUGAUAGCAAAAGAUUGAACCAACUCAAAUAUCCAUUAAUGGAAGCCUGGUUAAAUCCAUCGGAGUAUAGCCACACACUGUAAUACCAUGAAACUCAAAGAAGUAACUCUAUGCACCAACAGGAGAAGUCACUACAUAUCUUAGUGACAUAUAUAAAGUUUAAAAAAGCAAAGUGAGACUUGAUUUUACUGUGAUAAUAUUAACAAAUAUUGGCUGGGCGCGGUGGCUCACGCCUGUAAUCCCAGCACUUUGGGAGGCCGAGGUGGGCGGAUCA
rnacentral:lncRNA from 1 species